GAUCUUUUCCAGUUGUUCACGCAAUGAUCUCGUGUUCGCGUUGCGAUUCACGGAGAGACAAAUAUUAUGGAGAAUGUGAGCAGUCCCCACCGCCUCCAAAACCAUGUCCUAAAAAUAGUAAUUCACAUUUCUGCUCUAUAAUAAGGGAGACAGAAUUCAGUGGUACCCCAGUGCGAUUCGCCAGGGAUUGUGCGCCGACAUACAUAGAGGAAGAUUGCGUU